AUGAUUGAGCAUGGGGUGGCAUACAGUGAUGGGCAUGACCCAGACAGGAAAUCAUUUUACAUUACCAUACCCAAUCUCGAUGUCCAGACUCCCACAUCGUUUUUCGCAGUGUACAAUGGCAGUGAAGCUUCUGGGAAAUUUUGCACAACAAAUAUUCACCAGGAGCUCCACAAACAUCAAGAGUUUGACACUAACUUGCGUCAGGCUUUGGAAGACACCUUGUACAGGAUUGACAGGCAAAUGAAAAUUACCUCAGCUGUGUAUGGCUGUGAGCACAUUGAUGAUCCUUCGGUUUAUAAGCAUUCAGGCUCUCUUCCGGUUAAGGAAAUCCCAUUCUGUGGAGGCAUUAGUGCAUCGAUAGCUCUGAUUAGAGGCGCAGAUAGCAUAAUUGCUACCAUUGGAUCCGCUCUAUGUUUCAUUUCAAAAGAUGGGAAGCCCAACCGUCUAGGCACUGGAAGCAACCGUGAAGAUAAUGUGAAGAAGAAUUGUGAUUCUGCUGACAAAUUUCCUCAUAUUCUCAUGGAAUCUAUGAAAGAUGCUGAUUUUGUGAUGAUGGCUUCUGGUUCUUUGAUGGAUCUAAUGCCAGUCCAACAACUUACUGAUUUUGUGACUGAGAGAAUAAACCUGAGGGUGAAUAUGGAUACAGUUUGCAAUGAUCUUCUUCACCACUGUGCAUCUGAAAUGGCUGACAAAGUGUCAAGCGACACAUGUGUUUUGAUACUUCGUUCGAAAGACCGAGAGGGAGAUGCUAAGGAAAAGACUGAUGGUGAUGCCGCUGUGCCCACAGAAAAGGAACAGGAUGACACUGAAGAAGGCUCAGAACUGGAAAUCGGAAAGUCCUAUUCAUGCUCCAAAAGCAGAUUUAUGCACGCGUUCGGGCCUUGA
rnacentral:rRNA from 1 species